rnacentral:rRNA from 1 species
AACGAACGCUGGCGGCAUGCCUAACACAUGCAAGUCGAACGAGACCUUCGGGUCUAGUGGCUCACGGGUGCGUAACGCGUGGGAACCUGCCCUUAUGUUCGGAAUAACUCCCCGAAAGGGGUUCUAAUACCGGAUAAUGUCUUCGGACCAAAGAUUUAUCGCCUUUGGAUGGGCCCGCGUUGGAUUAGCUAGUUGGUAGGGUAAAAGCCUACCAAGGCGACGAUCCAUAGCUGGUCUGAGAGGAUGAUCAGCCACACUGGGACUGAGACACGGCCCAGACUCCUACGGGAGGCAGCAGUGGGGAAUAUUGGACAAUGGGCGAAAGCCUGAUCCAGCAAUGCCGCGUGAGUGAUGAAGGCCUUAGGGUUGUAAAGCUCUUUUACCCGGGAUGAUAAUGACAGUACCGGGAGAAUAAGCUCCGGCUAACUCCGUG